CACGUAGGGGGCGAGCGUUGUCCGGAAUCAUUGGGCGUAAAGAGCUCGUAGGCGGCUCGGUAAGUCGGGUGUGAAACCCCCAGGCUCAACCUGGGGACGCCACCCGAUGCUGCUGUGGCUAGAGUCCAGUAGGGGAGUGUGGAAUUCCCGGUGUAGCGGUGAAAUGCGCAGAUAUCGGGAGGAACACCAGCGGCGAAGGCGGCACUCUGGGCUGGAACGUGACGCUGAGGAGCGAAAGCGUGGGUAGCAAACAGG
rnacentral:rRNA from 1 species